rnacentral:rRNA from 1 species
UACGAAGGGGGCUAGCGUUGCUCGGAAUCACUGGGCGUAAAGCGCACGUAGGCGGAUUGUUAAGUCAGGGGUGAAAUCCUGGAGCUCAACUCCAGAACUGCCUUUGAUACUGAGAAGCUUGAGUCCGGGAGAGGUGAGUGGAACUGCGAGUGUAGAGGUGAAAUUCGUAGAUAUUCGCAAGAACACCAGUGGCGGAGGCGGCUCACUGGCCCGGUACUGACGCUGAGGUGCGAAAGCGUGGGGAGCAAACAGG